GUUUUCUCUCUCCUCUCACCUCCUUUCACAGCGUCGCCACCACCUCAGCCCUCUCUACUCGCCGGGGCGCCGCCCUAGCACCUCCCCACCGCCGGCCGACGCUCCAGGCUGCCGGAAAACGCACGUGAAACCUCCCUAAGGCGCAGUGAGUCGCUUCGCCUUCCCAGCCAAAAUCUGGCCAAUCCGGCUAUCGAUCGGACCGAGUCUUGUUUCAAAACUCUUCUACACCUCAAGAGCUUUCCA
rnacentral:misc_RNA from 1 species